rnacentral:rRNA from 1 species
GGGAUUAGAUACCCCACUAUGCUUAGCCUUAAACUUAGAUGUCAAACAUACAAAUACAUCCGCCAGGGAACUACGAGCGCUAGCUUGAAACCCAAAGGACUUGACGGUGUCUCAGACCCACCUAGAGGAGCCUGUUCUAGAACCGAUAAUCCACGUUAAACCUCACCACCCCUUGUUCAAUCAGCCUGUAUACCGCCGUCGUAAGCUUACCCUGUGAAGGUCCCAUAGUAAGCGAAAUGGGUAAUUCCCAAGACGUCAGGUCGAGGUGCAGCUCACGGAGUGGGAAGAAAUGGGCUACAUUUUCUACAACAGAAUAUUACGAAUAAUACUAUGAAACUGGUAUUUGAAGGUGGAUUUAGUAGUAAAAAAUAAACAGAGAGUUUUUUUGAACCAGGCUCUGAGACGCGCACACACCGCCC